GAUGAACGCUAGCGGCAGGCCUAAUACAUGCAAGUUGAGGGAGAAAUUUGGAGCUUGCUCUAAAUGGAAACCGGCGAACGGGUGCGUAACACGUAUGCAACCUACCUAGAUCUAAGGGAUAGCCCGAAGAAAUUCGGAUUAAUACCUUAUAAUAUGCACGAACCGCAUGGUUUGUGUCUUAAAGCUCCGGCGGAUUUAGAUGGGCAUGCGGCCUAUUAGUUUGUUGGUGAGGUAACGGCUCACCAAGACUACGAUAGGUAGGGGGUCUGAGAGGAUGAUCCCCCACACUGGUACUGAGACACGGACCAGACUCCUACGGGAGGCAGCAGUAGGGAAUAUUGGACAAUGGGCGAAAGCCUGAUCCAGCCAUGCCGCGUGCAGGAAGACGGCCCUAUGGGUUGUAAACUGCUUUUAUAUAGGAAGAAACCUUCUCACGUGUGAGAAGCUGACGGUACUAUAAGAAUAAGGACCGGCUAACUCCG
rnacentral:rRNA from 1 species